rnacentral:rRNA from 1 species
UACAGAGGGGGCAAGCGUUGUUCGGAAUUACUGGGCGUAAAGGGCGCGUAGGCGGCCUGCUAAGUCGAACGUGAAAUCCCUGGGCUCAACCCAGGAACUGCGUCCGAUACUGGUUGGCUUGAAUCCGGGAGAGGGAUGUGGAAUUCCAGGUGUAGCGGUGAAAUGCGUAGAUAUCUGGAGGAAUACCGGUGGCGAAGGCGGGUCUCUGGGCCGAUACUGACGCUGAGGAGCGAAAGCGUGGGGAGCGAACAGG